rnacentral:lncRNA from 7 species
AAAAAAAUCGCUGGAUUCACACAUGAGUUGAACUGUUGGCAGCUGUAAAAUCAGUGUCUGAAACGAGACCAGAGAUAGAGCAGAUUAAGCCAGUCGUAGCAGGACAAACCAGCAAGCAUAUCAAGCCCAAAAUGUCAAUGCCUAAUCAUACCGUAAGUAGUGAACAGGGAAAAAAAAUGAGAGUUGCCCACUUAGCGAAUGAAAGAUUUGAGAUGGAAGCACAGCAAAUUCGAGCCCAAGGGAUGGGAAGAGCCGCGUGUGGUGGUAGAUCACAUGAAUUGAUGGAUGGGGCGAUGAUGUCACUCGGAGCAGCGGGGCACCGGAUUCCGGAUUGGUCGUCGGGAGGGGAGGAAACCGACCGCUAAAGAACUCGGCAUCGCCGCAACGCCACGCUCGAGAAUGCCGGUGGAUGACGGCGAGGAUCACCGCGAUGUGAGCACGAGAAAGGCCGCCAACGAGAACGACAAUGCUCGAAUUUGGGGUAAAUUCU